AACGAACGCUGGCGGCAGGCCUAACACAUGCAAGUCGAGCGAGGACUUCGGUCCUGGCGGCGGACGGGUGAGUAACGCGUGGGAACGUGCCCUUUGCUACGGAAUAGCCCCGGGAAACUGGGAGUAAUACCGUAUGUGCCCGAGAGGGGAAAGAUUUAUCGGCAAAGGAUCGGCCCGCGUUGGAUUAGGUAGUUGGUGGGGUAAUGGCCUACCAAGCCGACGAUCCAUAGCUGGUUUGAGAGGAUGAUCAGCCACACUGGGACUGAGACACGGCCCAGACUCCUACGGGAGGCAGCAGUGGGGAAUCUUAGACAAUGGGGGAAACCCUGAUCUAGCCAUGCCGCGUGAGCGAUGGAGGCCUUAGGGUUGUAAAGCUCUUUCAGUGGGGAAGAUAAUGACGGUACCCACAGAAGAAGCCCCGGCUAACUCCGUGCCAGCCGCCGCUGUAAGAC
rnacentral:rRNA from 1 species